rnacentral:rRNA from 1 species
AGGGGAGUGAAAAAGAACCUGAAACCGUGUACGUACAAGCAGUGGGAGCACAGAGCAAUCUGUGUGACUGCGUACCUUUUGUAUAAUGGGUCAGCGACUUAUAUUCUGUAGCAAGGUUAACCGAAUAGGGGAGCCGAAGGGAAACCGAGUCUUAACUGGGCGUUAAGUUGCAGGGUAUAGACCCGAAACCCGGUGAUCUAGCCAUGGGCAGGUUGAAGGUUGGGUAACACUAACUGGAGGACCGAACCGACUAAUGUUGAAAAAUUAGCGGAUGACUUGUGGCUGGGGGUGAAAGGCCAAUCAAACCGGGAGAUAGCUGGUUCUCCCCGAAAGCUAUUUAGGUAGCGCCUCGUGAAUUCAUCUCCGGGGGUAGAGCACUGUUUCGGCAAGGGGGUCAUCCCGACUUACCAACCCGAUGCAAACUGCGAAUACCGGAGAAUGUUAUCACGGGAGACACACGGCGGGUGCUAACGUCCGUCGUGAAGAGGGAAACAACCCAGACCGCCAGCUAAGGUCCCAAAGUCAUGGUUAAGUGGGAAACGAUGUGGGAAGGCCCAGACAGCCAGGAUGUUGGCUUAGAAGCAGCCAUCAUUUAAAGAAAGCGUAAUAGCUCACUGGUCGAGUCGGCCUGCGCGGAAGAUGUAACGGGGCUAAACCAUGCAC